GAUGAACGCUGGCGGCGUGCCUAAUACAUGCAAGUCGAGCGAGCGGACGAGAAGCUUGCUUCUCUGAUGUUAGCGGCGGACGGGUGAGUAACACGUGGAUAACCUACCUAUAAGACUGGGAUAACUUCGGGAAACCGGAGCUAAUACCGGAUAAUAUUUUGAACCGCAUGGUUCAAAAGUGAAAGACGGUCUUGCUGUCACUUAUAGAUGGAUCCGCGCUGCAUUAGCUAGUUGGUAAGGUAACGGCUUACCAAGGCAACGAUGCAUAGCCGACCUGAGAGGGUGAUCGGCCACACUGGAACUGAGACACGGUCCAGACUCCUACGGGAGGCAGCAGUAGGGAAUCUUCCGCAAUGGGCGAAAGCCUGACGGAGCAACGCCGCGUGAGUGAUGAAGGUCUUCGGAUCGUAAAACUCUGUUAUUAGGGAAGAACAUAUGUGUAAGUAACUGUGCACAUCUUGACGGUACCUAAUCAGAAAGCCACGGCUAACUACGUGCCAGCAGCCGCGGUAAUACGUAGGUGGCAAGCGUUAUCCGGAAUUAUUGGGCGUAAAGCGCGCGUAGGCGGUUUUUUAAGUCUGAUGUGAAAGCCCACGGCUCAACCGUGGAGGGUCAUUGGAAACUGGAAAACUUGAGUGCAGAAGAGGAAAGUGGAAUUCCAUGUGUAGCGGUGAAAUGCGCAGAGAUAUGGAGGAACACCAGUGGCGAAGGCGACUUUCUGGUCUGUAACUGACGCUGAUGUGCGAAAGCGUGGGGAUUAAACAGGAUUAGAUACCCUGGUAGUCCACGCCGUAAACGAUGAGUGCUAAGUGUUAGGGGGUUUCCGCCCCUUAGUGCUGCAGCUAACGCAUUAAGCACUCCGCCUGGGGAGUACGACCGCAAGGUUGAAACUCAAAGGAAUUGACGGGGACCCGCACAAGCGGUGGAGCAUGUGGUUUAAUUCGAAGCAACGCGAAGAACCUUACCAAAUCUUGACAUCCUUUGACAACUCUAGAGAUAGAGCCUUCCCCUUCGGGGGACAAAGUGACAGGUGGUGCAUGGUUGUCGUCAGCUCGUGUCGUGAGAUGUUGGGUUAAGUCCCGCAACGAGCGCAACCCUUAAGCUUAGUUGCCAUCAUUAAGUUGGGCACUCUAAGUUGACUGCCGGUGACAAACCGGAGGAAGGUGGGGAUGACGUCAAAUCAUCAUGCCCCUUAUGAUUUGGGCUACACACGUGCUACAAUGGACAAUACAAAGGGCAGCGAAACCGCGAGGUCAAGCAAAUCCCAUAAAGUUGUUCUCAGUUCGGAUUGUAGUCUGCAACUCGACUACAUGAAGCUGGAAUCGCUAGUAAUCGUAGAUCAGCAUGCUACGGUGAAUACGUUCCCGGGUCU
rnacentral:rRNA from 1 species